CGCGGCCUAUCAGCUAGUUGGCGAGGUAACGGCUCACCAAGGCGAUGACGGGUAGCUGGUCUGAGAGGAUGGCCAGCCACAUUGGGACUGAGAGACGGCCCAGACUCCUACGGGAGGCAGCAGUGGGGAAUCUUGCGCAAUGGCCGAAAGGCUGACGCAGCGACGCCGCGUGGAGGAUGACGCCCUUCGGGGUGUAAACUCCUGUUGCCCGGGACGAAUGCCUGUUUCGACAGGAGUGACGGUACCGGGUGAGGAAGCACCGGCUAACUCUGUGCCAGCAGCCGCGGUAAUACAGAGGGUGCGAGCGUUGUCCGGAAUCACUGGGCGUAAAGGGCGCGUAGGCGGUCGGGUAAGCGUGUGGUGAAAGUCCGGGGCUCAACCCCGGAUCGGCCAUGCGAACUGUCCGACUGGAGCACGGUAGAGGCACAUGGAAUUCCGGGUGUAGCGGUGGAAUGCGUAGAGAUCCGGAAGAACACCGGUGGCGAAGGCGGUGUGCUG
rnacentral:rRNA from 1 species